rnacentral:rRNA from 1 species
ACUAAACCUAGCCCAAAAAACCCAUCAACUAAAUUAUUAAAACAAAAUAAAACAAAACAUUUACCCCCAUUCAAAGUAUAGGAGAUAGAAAUUUUAAUAUGGCGCUAUAGAGAAAGUACCGCAAGGGAAAGAUGAAAGAAAAAAAUUAAAGUACAAAAAAGCAAAGAUUAUCCCUUGUACCUUUCGCAUAAUGAAUUAACUAGCAUAAACUUAGCAAAACGAAUUUUAGCUAAGUAACCCGAAACCAGACGAGCUACUUACAAACAGUUUUCCAAGAACUAACUCAUCUAUGUGGCAAAAUAGUGAGAGGAUUUGUAAGUAGAGGUGAUACGCCUAACGAGCCUGGUGAUAGCUGGUUGUCCAGAAAAUGAAUCUUAGUUCAGCUUUAAAGAUACCAAAAAUUCAAACAAAUCUCACUGUAUCUUUAAAAGUUAAUCUAAAAAGGUACAGCCUUUUAGAAACGGAUACAACCUUGACUAGAGAGUAAGACCCUAUAACACCAUAGUAGGCCUAAAAGCAGCCACCAAUUAAGAUAGCGUUAAAGCUCAACAACAAAAAUUACACAAAUCCCAAAAAUAAUCAACCAACUCCUAGUUCCAAUACUGGACUAAUCUAUUGUAAAAUAGAGGCAAUAAUGUUAAUAUGAGUAACAAGAAAUAUUUUCUCCCUGCAUAAGUAUAAGUCAGUACCUGAUAAUAUACCGACUAUUAACAGUUAAUAAAAUAACCCCAAAAAUAAAUUAUUUAUUAAUCACACUGUUAAUCCAACACAGGAAUGCUUUAAGGGAAAGAUUAAAAGAAGUAAAAGGAACUCGGCAAACAUAAACCCCGCCUGUUUACCAAAAACAUCACCUCCAGCAUCCCUAGUAUUGGAGGCACUGCCUGCCCAGUGACAAUCGUUAAACGGCCGCGGUAUCCUGACCGUGCAAAGGUAGCAUAAUCACUUGUUCUCUAAAUAAGGACUUGUAUGAAUGGCCACACGAGGGUUUUACUGUCUCUUACUUCCAAUCAGUGAAACUGACCUUCCCGUGAAGAGGCGGGAAUGCACUAAUAAGACGAGAAGACCCUAUGGAGCUUCAACUAACCAACCCAAAGAAAAUAAACUAAACCACCAAGGAAUAACAAUACCCUCAUGGGUUGGCAGUUUCGGUUGGGGUGACCUCGGAGAAUAAAAAAACCUCCGAACGAUUCUAAAGACUAGACUUACAAGUCAAACCACCCUAUCGCUUAUUGAUCCAAAAACUUGAUCAACGGAAUAAGUUACCCUAGGGAUAACAGCGCAAUCCUAUUCAAGAGUCCAUAUCGACAAUAGGGUUUACGACCUCGAUGUUGGAUCAGGACACCCAGAUGGUGCAGCCGCUAUCAAAGGUUCGUUUGUUCAACGAUUAAAGUCCUACGUGAUCUGAGUUCAGACCGGAGUAAUCCAGGUCGGUUUCUAUCUAUUAUUACAUUUCUCCCAGUACGAAAGGACAAGAGAAAUAAGGCCAACUUAAAAUAAGCGCCUUAAAACAAUUAAUGAUUACAUCUCAAUUAAUAGUACAAAAUCCUGCCCUAGAAAAGGGCUUA